AUGAGACUUUGGCUCCAUGUAGUGUUCCUUGCAGUGGCUCUGGAAGGUGUCCGGUCCCAGGUGCAGCUGGUGGAGUCCGGAGGGGAUGUGAAAAAGCCUGGAGACUCUCUCCGCCUCUCCUGCAAAGCCUCCAGGUUCAUCUUCAGCAGCUACGCUAUGAGCUGGGUCCGUCAGGCUCCCGGGAAGGGACUGGAGUGGGUCUCAUACAUUUACACUGAUGGGAGCCAACAAUUUUACAGAGACUCAGUGAAAGGCCGAUUCACCAUCUCCAGAGACAACCCCAACAACCUGCUGUAUCUGCAAAUGACCGGCCUGAAGCCCGAGGACACCGCCCGGUAUCACUGGGCCCGUUCGCAGGUUGUUCUGACCCAGUCCGGUCCUGAAGUGAAGAAGCCCGGAGAAUCCACCCAGCUGAAAUGCGCCGUGAGCGGGUUUGUUCCUAAUGACUGGUGGAUGGAUUGGGUCAGACAGCUGCCAGGAAAGGGACUGGAGUGGCUGGUUCACUAUCGACAAUCUUCAGUCACGAAUUACUACUCCCCCUCCAUCCAGGGGCGAUUCACAGCCUCCAAGGACAGCUCCAACUUCUACCUGCAAAUGACAGGCCUGAAACCCGAGGACACGGCCGUUUAUUACUGCGCAAGACACACAAGGCGCCAGCAGAAGGUCCUCUCCAGCUACCGAGCCCCAUCUAAGCCUCCU